AUACGGAGGGUGCAAGCGUUGUUCGGAAUCACUGGGCGUAAAGGGCGCGCAGGCGGUUUGGUAAGUCAGAUGUGAAAGCCCACGGCUCAACCGUGGAAGUGCAUUUGAAACUGUCAGACUUGAGUACAAGAGGGGAAAGUGGAAUUCCCGGUGUAGUGGUGAAAUUCGUAGAUAUCGGGAGGAAUACCGGUGGCGAAGGCGACUUUCUGGCUAGAUACUGACGCUGAGGCGCGAAAGCGUGGGGAGCAAACAGGAUUAGAAACCCCGGUAGUCC
rnacentral:rRNA from 1 species